rnacentral:rRNA from 1 species
GAUGAAUGCUGGCGGCGUGCUUAACACAUGCAAGUCGAGCGGUAAGGCCCCUUCGGGGGUACACGAGCGGCGGACGGCUGAGUAACGCGUGGGAACAUGCCCCAAAGUGAGGAAUAAGGCUCCAGAAAUGGAGUCUAAUGCCGCAUAUGAUCUUCGGAUUAAAGGAUUUAUCCGCUUUGGGAGUGGCCUGCGUACGAUUA